UCUUUAUCUUGUUAUCCUUAUCUUUAUUCCCUUAUCUUUAUCUUGCUUAUCUUUAUCUUGCUUAUUCUUAUCUUUAUCUUUAUCUUUAUCUUUAUCUUUAUCUUUAUAAUUAUCUUUAUCUUUAUCUUUAUCUUCAUAUUUAUCUUUAUCUUUAUCUUUAUCUUGCUUAUUCUUAUCUUCAUAUUUAUCUUUAUCUUUAUCUUUAUCUUGCUUAUCUUUAUCUUGCUUAUUCUUAUCUUUAUCUUUAUCUUUAUCUUUAUCUUUAUCUUUAUCUUUAUCUUUAUCUUUAUCUUUAUCUUUAUCUUUAUCUUUAUCUUUAUCUUUAUCUUUAUCUUUAUCUUUAUCUUCAUCUUCAUCUUCAUAUUUAUCUUCAUAUCUGAUUAUCUUCUUCUCAUCCGUAUCUUUAUCUUCCAAAUCUUUUUCUUAUCCACAUAUUUAUCUUCUUAUCUUCCUUAUCUUCAUCUUCUUAUCUUCUUCUCAUCCUUAUCUUUAUCUUCCAAAUCUUCUUCUUAUCCAUUUUUUUAUCUUCUUAUCUUCCUUAUCUUUAUCUUCU